UACGAAGGGGGCUAGCGUUGUUCGGAAUUACUGGGCGUAAAGCGCGCGCAGGCGGCUAUCCAAGUCAGUGGUGAAAGCCCGGAGCUCAACUCCGGAACUGCCAUUGAAACUGUUUAGCUUGAGGAUGAGAGAGGUGAGUGGAAUUCCCAGUGUAGAGGUGAAAUUCGUAGAUAUGGGGAGGAACACCGGUGGCGAAAGCGGCUCACUGGACCAUUACUGGACGCUGAGGCACGAAAGCUAGGGGAGCAAACAGG
rnacentral:rRNA from 1 species